AAGAAGCAGAAGCAGGAGAAACAGAAGCUAUCAUUCUCAACUAUAGCCAGUUCAAGGUUGGAGACAGCUGCAAGUGGUGCCCUGUAGGAACUCAUCGCAUUGGUCAGAAAUGCUUAUAAUCCAUCAAGAAAGAAAGUCUGGACAGGAGCCUAAGUAGGAACCUGGAAGGAGAAAUUGAAGCAUUGACAAUGGAGGGAAGUCACUUACUAGCUUGCUUUCCAUGGAUUAUUCAACCUGCUAUCUUAUAUUACCCAGGACCAUCUACCAAGGGGUAGCACCACCCGAAGUAAAAUGAACCAACCAUUAAUCAAGAAAAUGCCCCACAGAAUUUCAUGAAAGCAAUCUGAUAAAUGCAU